GGAAUUGACGGGGAGCACCACGAACGGUGGAGCUUGGCGGUUUAAUUGGAUUCAACGCCGGAAAUCUUACCGGGACCGACAGCAAUAUGAAGGCCAGGCUGAAGACUUUGCCGGAUUAGCUGAGAGGUGGUGCAUGGCCGUCGUCAGUUCGUACUGUGAAGCAUCCUGUUAAGUCAGGCAACGAGCGAGACCCACGCCCACAGUUGCCAGCGUACUCUCUGGAGUGACGGGUACACUGUGGGGACCGCCGCUGCUAAAGCGGAGGAAGGAAUGGGCAACGGUAGGUCAGUAUGCCCCGAAUAUCCCGGGCUACACGCGAGCUACAAUGGUUGGUACAAUGGGAUGCAAUACCGAGAGGUAACGCGAACCCCGAAACCUAUUCGUAGUUCGAACUGAGGGCUGUAACUCGCCCUCACGAAGCUGGAUUCCGUAGUAAUCGCGGGUCAACAUCCCGCGGUGAAUAUGCCCCUGCUCUUU
rnacentral:rRNA from 1 species